GCUUCCGGUGGCGGCGGCAGCAGCGGCUGUGGUGGUUCCGGGUGUCUUUGUCCCCCCGGUGUCGCUGCCCUGGCCCGCAGGCACAGCUUCAACAUCUCUUCUGGGCCCUCCUCCUGGUUUGCUCACUCCUCCUGUGGCCACAGAACUGUCCCAGAAUGCCAGGCACCUUCAGGGUGGGGAGAAACAGCGGGUCUUCACUGGUAUUGUUACCAGCUUGCAUGACUACUUUGGGGUUGUGGAUGAAGAGGUCUUUUUUCAGCUAAGUGUGGUGAAGGGCCGUCUGCCCCAGCUGGGUGAGAAGGUGCUGGUGAAGGCUGCAUACAACCCAGGCCAGGCAGUGCCCUGGAAUGCUGUCAAGGUGCAAACGCUCUCCAACCAGCCCCUACUGAAGUCCCCAGCACCUCCUCUUCUGCAUGUAGCAGCCCUGGGCCAGAAGCAAGGGAUCCUGGGAGCUCAGCCUCAGUUGAUCUUCCAGCCUCACCGGAUUCCCCCACUCUUUCCUCAGAAGCCUCUGAGUCUCUUCCAAACAUCCCACACACUUCACCUGAG
rnacentral:lncRNA from 1 species